AAUAUCAUCAAAUAAUAUACGAAAAAAAUAAAAUAAAAAACACACGCUAUCAGCAAAGAACCGCCUUGAGUUUCCCCUUCCCACACUUCUCUUUGCUCUGCAAAACUUUCAUUGUCAAGACUUCCCUUUUCACGGCGAAACCCACGGCGGCGAUUUCCCUUCUCACGGAGGCGUGCUUCCCUUCUCACUGCGAAACCCACGGCGGCGAUUUCCCUUCUCACGGAGGCGAGCUUCCCUUCUCACGGCGAAAGUGAAUAAUCGAAUUUGAAGAUAAAGAAGUUGUAGUGCUCAUACGUCUUUUAGUCGGAGAGUUCAGAGAUCUCCUGAACUUUGGAUGCCUUACUGGUGUUGAGGAUAGUCUAAGAGUAUGGCUUUCUCAUGGUGGCAGCUUCGCGAAUAACACCUGAAGCUAUAGACUUUUUAAUGAACCGAGGAUCUGGGAUCAUCUAUGUGACAGUUGAAGGGGGAGGCUUGGAGAAACUGCAGUCCCCUUUUAUGUGUUUUUCAGAUUGUCAUUUUCCAAGUUAUGAUAAAGAGCAGAUUGAUGAAGUAAAUACUCAUUUGGUGCGCUAUGUUCAACAAAUGUAUAGUAGCUUGAUAGAUUACAUUGAAGGAAUAAAAAAACAACUCUACUAGUUAAUGUGUUUUGCGUAGUUUAAUGUUUGGGGGCUUAUUUUAGAACAUAUUUAUGUAAUUAGUUAUUAUAGUGACAAUUGCAAAUUUCUUUUUAUUGGAGGAUUGGAAUUAAUAUUUAACUAUUUACUAUAUUA